UACGAAGGGUGCAAACGUUGCUCGGAAUCAUUGGGCGUAAAGCGCACGUAGGCGGCUUCGCAAGUCGGAUGUGAAAUCCCGUGGCUCAACCAUGGACGUGCAUCUGAAACUGUGAGGCUUGAGUAUGGAAGAGGGUCGCGGAAUUCCCGGUGUAGAGGUGAAAUUCGUAGAUAUCGGGAGGAACACCAGUGGCGAAGGCGGCGACCUGGGCCAAUACUGACGCUGAGGUGCGAAAGCGUGGGGAGCAAACAGG
rnacentral:rRNA from 1 species